UACGUAGGGGGCGAGCGUUGUCCGGAAUCAUUGGGCGUAAAGCGCGCGCAGGCGGUCCCUUAAGUCUGAUGUGAAAUCUUGCGGCUCAACCGCAAGAGGUCAUUGGAAACUGGGGGACUUGAGUGCAGGAGAGGGAAGCGGAAUUCCAUGUGUAGCGGUGAAAUGCGUAGAGAUAUGGAGGAACACCAGUGGCGAAGGCGGCUUCCUGGCCUGUAACUGACGCUCAGGCGCGAAAGCGUGGGGAGCAAAC
rnacentral:rRNA from 1 species